rnacentral:rRNA from 1 species
CAGUAGCCGCGGUAAUACGUAGGGUCCGAGCGUUGUCCGGAAUUAUUGGGCGUAAAGGGUGCGUAGGCGGCCCCGCAAGUCUUGUGUGAAAUCCUCAAGCUCAACUUGAGGCCUGCACGAGAAACUGCUGGGCUGGAGUAUGGGAGAGGUGAGUGGAAUUCCUGGUGUAGCGAUGAAAUGCGUAGAUAUCAGGAGGAACACCUGUGGCGAAAGCGGCUCACUGGACCAUAACUGACGCUGAGGCACGAAAGCUAGGGGAGCAAACAGGAUUAGAUACCCCCGUAGUCCCUGUCUCUUAUAC